rnacentral:rRNA from 1 species
GACGAACGCUGGCGGCGUGCUUAACACAUGCAAGUCGAACGGAAAGGCCCUGCUUUUGUGGGGUGCUCGAGUGGCGAACGGGUGAGUAACACGUGAGUAACCUGCCCUUGACUUUGGGAUAACUUCAGGAAACUGGGGCUAAUACCGGAUAGGAGCUCCUGCUGCAUGGUGGGGGUUGGAAAGUUUCGGCGGUUGGGGAUGGACUCGCGGCUUAUCAGCUUGUUGGUGGGGUAGUGGCUUACCAAGGCUUUGACGGGUAGCCGGCCUGAGAGGGUGACCAGCCACAUUGGGACUGAGAUACGGCCCAGACUCCUACGGGAGGCAGCAGUGGGGAAUAUUGCACAAUGGGCGGAAGCCUGAUGCAGCAACGCCGCGUGCGGGAUGACGGCCUUCGGGCUGUAAACCGCUUUCGCCUGUGACGAAGCGUGAGUGACGGUAAUGGGUAAAGAAGCACCGGCUAACUACGUG